rnacentral:rRNA from 1 species
AGGACUAACGCUGGCGGCGUGCCUAACACAUGCAAGUCGAACGAGGGGUAGCAAUACCCCUAGUGGCAGACGGGUGAGUAACACGUAGUCAACCUACCUCUUAAUGGGGGAUAACUAGCCGAAAGGUUAGCUAAUACCGCAUACGAUCGUCGAGUGGCAUCACACGACGAUGAAAGGAGCAAUCCGUUGAGAGAGGGGACUGCGUCCCAUUAGUUAGUUGGUGGGGUAAUGGCCUACCAAGACUCCGAUGGGUAGCUGGCUUGAGAGAGCGACCAGCCACACUGGAACUGAGACACGGUCCAGACUCCUACGGGAGGCAGCAGUGAGGAAUUUUCCGCAAUGGGGGAAACCCUGACGGAGCGACGCCGCGUGUGGGAAGAAGGCCUUCGGGUCGUAAACCACUGUCGAGGGGACGAUAUUGACGGUACCCUGGAGGAAGCCCCGGCUAACUACGCGCCAGCAGCCGC